rnacentral:rRNA from 1 species
GAUUCAGAAUAACUAAGCUGAUCGCAUGGGCUUGUCCCGGCGACGUGUCUUUCAAGUGUCUGCCUUAUCAACUUUCGAUGGUAGUGUACGUGACUACCAUGGUGUUGACGGGUAACGGAGGAUAAGGGUUCGACUCCGGAGAAGGGGCCUGAGAAAUGGCCACUACGUCUAAGGAUGGCAGCAGGCGCGCAAAUUACCCACUCUCAGUUCGAGGAGGUAGUGACGAAAAAUAACAAGGCCGUUCUCUUUGAGGCCGGCCAUUGGAAUGGGUACAACUUAAACCCUUUAACGAGUAUCAAUGAGAGGGCAAGUCUGGUGCCAGCAGCCGCGGUAAUUCCAGCUCUCAAAAUGCAUAGAACCAUUGCUGCGGUUAAAAAGCUCGUAGUUGGAUCUGUGCUGGCGACGUGGUCCGCCUUCACCGGCGGUACUGCGCUCGUCGGCUUUGGGCCGGUUUUCGGGCGGUCACCUUCACUGGUGGCCGUUCGUGGCUGGCUGGUUUACUUUGAGCAAAUCAGAGUGCUCAGCACAGGCGUCUC